rnacentral:misc_RNA from 1 species
GAUGAAGAACGUAGUGAAAUGCGAUAAGUAAUGUGAAUUGCAGAAUUCAGUGAAUCAUCGAAUCUUUGAACGCACAUUGCGCCCCCUGGCAUUCCGGGGGGCAUGCCUGUUCGAGCGUCAUUACAACCCUCAAGCUCUGCUUGGUAUUGGGCUCUGCCGGUCCCGGCAGGCCUUAAAAUCAGUGGCGGCGCCACUCGGCUUCAAGCGUAGUAAUUCUUCUCGCUUCGGAGACCCGGGUGCGUGCUAGCCAGCAACCCCCAACUUUCUCAGGUUGACCUCGGAUCAGGUAGGGAUACCCGCUGAACUUAAGCAUAUCAAUAAGCGGAGGA